UGAGGAAUAUUGCGCAAUGGAGGCAACUCUGACGCAGCCAUGCCGCGUGCAGGAAGAAGGCGCUACGCGUUGUAAACUGCUUUUAUCCGGGAAGAAACCCCUCCACGCGUGGAGGGUUGACGGUACCGGAGGAAUAAGCACCGGCUAACUUCGUGCCAGCAGCCGCGGUAAUACGAAGGGUGCAAGCGUUAUCCGGAUUCAUUGGGUUUAAAGGGUGCGUAGGCGGGAUAGCAAGUCAGUGGUGAAAUCCCGUGGCUUAACCACGGAAUUGCCAUUGAUACUGCUGUUCUUGAGUACGCUCGACGUGGGCGGAAUGUGCCGUGUAGCGGUGAAAUGCUUAGAUAUGGCACAGAACACCGAUAGUGAAGACAGCUCACGAGGGCGAAACUGACGCUGAGGCACGAAAGCGUGGGGAUCAAACAGG
rnacentral:rRNA from 1 species